GUUUAGCGGGAACUAAAUUCCAGGUCUUGUUAUCAAUUAAAGCUUUAUAUUUUUCUUUCAUUGCUUGAAGCCAAUGCGGUGUUGCCAUGGCUUGUUUAUAGUUCUUAGGUGUAUCUUCUAAAUUUUUAACUACCUCUACUACCAAAGCCUUUGGUAGGUUAACUUCAAAAAUAUUGUAUUUUGUUGGAAAUUUUGAAGUUCUACCUUAUCUUCUUAGAUGAGUGUGUGUGUUAAACUCAUUUACUAAGUUUUGAGGUAUUGUUGUAACUACUGGUUGAGGUAUUGCUGUAGCUACAGGUUGAGGUAUUCUAGUGG
rnacentral:lncRNA from 1 species